CUGGUGAUAGAGCAGUGAACAAAGCAGUUUCUGCCCUCAUGGAGCUUACAUCCUAAUGAGAGAGCCUGAUAACAAGCAAGUGUAUUCAUAAUUGCUCAUUGAAGCAGUUUUAUGAUGGUACACGAGGCUCUCUCUUCAAUGGCUAUAAAAUUUAUAAUCCCACCAGCAUUUAGGAAAGGAUCAGCACAUUAAUGAGAAUGAAUAAAAGAUGUCCAGAAUACAGAAAGAGAGUGAAAUUUUAAAUAAGACUGUCAAGACGAGUCUUACUGAGAAGAUGGAACUGGAGCGAAGACUAAGAGAAGGUGAAAUAUGUGGCUGUCUGAGGGAAAGCAUUCCAGGAGGAAGGAACAGCUAGUACAAAGGCUCUGAGGUGGCAGUGUGCUGGCUGCUGGGGAGGAGGCCACAGUGGCUGAAGUAGGGCGAAUGGUGAUACUUAUGGUGGGAGAUGAGUUCAGAAGGUAAUGGGGGAAGGUGUAGAACAUGAAGGGCCUUAUAGGCCAGAGCAAGAACUUUGGUUUUCAUGCAGCAUGAAAGGAAGAUCUUGGCAGGGUUUCGAGGCAUGAUGUUAUCUGACAUUUUUAAAAAAUAAAAUCAAUUUGUU
rnacentral:lncRNA from 1 species